rnacentral:rRNA from 1 species
GACGAACCGAGCGAACGUUGUUCGGAAUCACUGGGCUUAAAGGGCGCGUAGGCGGGCGGCCGCGUCCGGGGUGAAAUCCCACGGCUCAACCGUGGAACGGCCCCGGGUACGGGUCGCCUGGAGGGGGGUAGGGGCGUGCGGAACUGUGCGUGGAGCGGUGAAAUGCGUUGAUAUGCACAGGAACUCCGGUGGCGAAGGCGGCACGCUGGACCCUCCCUGACGCUGAGGCGCGAAAGCCAGGGGAGCGAACGGG